ACCGAACUCCUAUCCUUUUUAACUAAGAGUGCUGCUUCCUGAACCACUCCUUUCCCCGGCUCAUAGCACCGGCUUCUCGUGUCUUGUCUUUUUUGUAAAGCGAGGAGUUUCAGUUAAGUGUGCUCGUUAAAGAAUGAUAGAGUUUCAGUAAUAUGUUCUAUCAAUAAUUGUAAGGUAGUUGUAAAAAGAAUCUUAUGUAUGUUAUAUAUAUAUUGUUUACUAUUAUUUUAUUGUUAUUAUUAUAUUUAUAAUAUAAUUAAGUAAUUAAUUUAUGUAUUUUAA
rnacentral:lncRNA from 1 species